GGGAUGUCUUACAAUUUCCUUUCAAAAGACAAAACUAAAUUGCUUCCUUCUCUCUCCUGGCCUAGCUGCAGCAUGGACACUUAGUGAGAAGAACUGAGAAAACACAAGGAGGUGUUGCCAUCUACUUGGACAAGCUGAGCCAUAUCUCUGACACAUAUGUCCUGCAUCUGGAGCAGGAGAUUGAGGUGACCAACCUGAAGCCAGGCCAUGUCAGGGUCUAUGAUUACUACAACCCAGAGGAGCAGGCCCUGGCUGACUAUAAUGUCUUCUGCAUCUGAGGGACUUGGACUACUUCAUUGCUGUCCACUGCUUCAGCUCACAGGGAUCCCGUAGUGCAAGAUGCCUUAGAACAGUGGGGCUGCUGCAUUAUUUCUCCUGGUAUAAUGAGACACCUGGAAAGUCACAUCUCAGGCUUGAGAUUUUGCUGCUGGGACACAUCUCCGGUUGGAUUUCAGGACUAACUCCAGCCUAACCUAUGUUGCUCAUCCUGACAGCCAUUACCUGGUGAAUUUUUUGGG
rnacentral:lncRNA from 1 species